GUAUUUUAAUUUGCUAACGAGAGAAGCCCAUGCUCACCGUUAGGUGAUGAGAAUGAGACAUUUUAAUCACAAUUACAGUAAGCUGCAAUAUACUUUAUUUUAUUCUGCUUUGCCAUGUUAUAUAGUUAGUAGCAACUUGAGCAGCAUCAUAGCACUGAUGUUUCAUUUACACAUGAAUGUAUUAAAAUUUGAGUAAGGACAAGGGGUUGACAUUGAUAC